GAUGAACGCUGGCGGCGUGCCUAAUACAUGCAGGUCGAGCGAAUGGAUUAAGAGCUUGCUCUUAUGAAGUUAGCGGCGGACGGGUGAGUAACACGUGGGUAACCUGCCCAUAAGACUGGGAUAACUCCGGGAAACCGGGGCUAAUACCGGAUAACAUUUUGAACCGCAUGGUUCGAAAUUGAAAGGCGGCUUCGGCUGUCACUUAUGGAUGGACCCGCGUCGCAUUAGCUAGUUGGUGAGGUAACGGCUCACCAGGGCAACGAUGCGUAGCCGACCUGAGAGGGUGAUCGGCCACACUGGGGCUGAGACACGGCCCAGACUCCUACGGGCGGCAGCAGUAGGGAAUCUUCCGCAAUGGACGAAAGUCUGACGGAGCAACGCCGCGUGAGUGAUGAGGGCUUUCGGGUCGUAAAACUCUGUUGUUAGGGAAGAACAAGUGCUAGUUGAAUAAGCUGGCACCUUGACGGUACCUAACCAGAAAGCCACGGCUAACUACGUGCCAGCCGCCGCCGUAA
rnacentral:rRNA from 1 species